CCUACGGGAGGCAGCAGUGAGGAAUAUUGGUCAAUGGACGCGAGUCUGAACCAGCCAAGUAGCGUGAAGGAUGACUGCCCUACGGGUUGUAAACUUCUUUUAUAUGGGAAUAAAAUGUUCCACGUGUGGGAUUUUGUAUGUACCAUAUGAAUAAGGAUCGGCUAACUCCGUGCCAGCAGCCGCGGUAAUACGGAGGAUCCGAGCUUUAUCCGGAUUUAUUGGGUUUAAAGGGAGCGUAGGUGGAUUGUUAAGUCAGUUGUGAAAGUUUGCGGCUCAACCGUAAAAUUGCAGUUGAUACUGGCAGUCUUGAGUACAGUAGAGGUGGGCGGAAUUCGUGGUGUAGCGGUGAAAUGCUUAGAUAUCACGAAGAACUCCGAUUGCGAAGGCAGUUCACUGGACUGCAACUGACAUUGAGGCUCGAAAGUGUGGGUAUCAAACAGGAUUAGAUACCCUUGUAGUC
rnacentral:rRNA from 1 species